rnacentral:rRNA from 1 species
GAUGAACGCUGGCGGCGUGCCUAAUACAUGCAAGUCGAGCGAACAGACGAGGAGCUUGCUCCUCUGACGUUAGCGGCGGACGGGUGAGUAACACGUGGAUAACCUACCUAUAAGACUGGGAUAACUUCGGGAAACCGGAGCUAAUACCGGAUAAUAUAUUGUACCGCAUGGUUCAAUAGUGAAAGACGGUUUUGCUGUCACUUAUAGAUGGAUCCGCGCCGCAUUAGCUAGUUGGUAAGGUAACGGCUUACCAAGGCAACGAUGCGUAGCCGACCUGAGAGGGUGAUCGGCCACACUGGAACUGAGACACGGUCCAGACUCCUACGGGAGGCAGCAGUAGGGAAUCUUCCGCAAUGGGCGAAAGCCUGACGGAGCAACGCCGCGUGAGUGAUGAAGGUCUUCGGAUCGUAAAACUCUGUUAUUAGGGAAGAACAAAUGUGUAAGUAACUAUGCACGUCUUGACGGUACCUAAUCAGAAAGUCACGGCUAACUACGUG